AUGUAUGUAUGCAUGCAUGUAUGCAUGCAUGCAUAUAUGUAUGUAUGCUGUAUGUAUGUUAUGUGUG
rnacentral:miRNA from 14 species